rnacentral:misc_RNA from 1 species
CAACUCCUUCUACUUGGAGCCUUGACUGUUGGGUUUGUCGUUUAGAGAGAAAUUAAGCUUUUAGAGAGAAAUCUAUGGGACCGAAUAGAAAUUCACCUUUUCCGUCGAAAUAAACGAACGAGCGAAGGAUUUCAUUUUCGUCUUCAUCCUCAUUAUCUAAGCUUUCAAUAGAUACCAAGUUAGGCCGUUUUCAAGUCCGAGGAGAGAGAAAUGAAUAAGGAAAAGCUUCGAUCUGGGUAAACUAGUGCUCAUUUGUGCACGUGGUGAGUGCCAACAGACUCAGGAUACAGGCGCAUCUGUGGUGGAGGUGCGUUGCCGGUCAGGAUUUCGGCAGCCACGCGUGGGUCCCACACACCACCUUGAGUGGUGGCGAUAGCUAGUACCUAAUUCUGAGCUAUUAC